AACGCGAAGAACCUUACCAGCCCUUGACAUGGUCGGACGGUUACCAGAGAUGGUUUCCUUCACUUCGGUGACUGACACACAGGUGCUGCAUGGCUGUCGUCAGCUCGUGUCGUGAGAUGUUGGGUUAAGUCCCGCAACGAGCGCAACCCUCGCCCUUAGUUGCCAUCAUUCAGUUGGGCACUCUAAGGGGACUGCCGGUGGUAAGCCGGAGGAAGGUGGGGAUGACGUCAAGUCCUCAUGGCCCUUACGGGUAGGGCUACACACGUGCUACAAUGGCAGUGACAAUGGGAUAAUCCCAAAAAGCUGUCUCAGUUCAGAUUGUCCUCUGCAACUCGAGGGCAUGAAGGUGGAAUCGCUAGUAAUCGUGGAUCAGCAUGCCACGGUGAAUACGUUCCCGGGUCUGUACACACCG
rnacentral:rRNA from 1 species